rnacentral:rRNA from 1 species
CCUACGGUGGGUAGCAGUGAGGAAUAUUGGUCAAUGGACGAGAGUCUGAACCAGCCAAAUAGCGUGAAGGAUGACUGCCCUAUGGGUUGUAAACUUCUUUUAUAAAGGAAUAAAACGAGGCACGUGUGCCUUUUUGCACGUACUUUAUGAAUAAGGAACGGCUAAAUCCGUGCCAGCAGCCGCGGUAAUCCGGAGGAUCCGAGCGUUAUCCGGAUUUAUUGGGUUUAAAGGGAGCGUAGAUGGGUCGUCAAGUCAGUUGUGAAAGUUUGCGGCUCAACCGUAAAAUUGCAAUUGAUACUGGCGGUCUUGAGUACAGUAGAGGUAAGCGGAAUUCGUGGUGUAGCGGUGAAAUGCUUAGAUAUCACGAAGAACCCCGAUUGCGAAGGCAGCUUACUAAACUGUGACUGACAUUGAUGCUCGAAAGUGUGGGUAGCAAACAGGAUUAGAUACCCCUGUAGUC